CGCGGGGUAGAGCAGUUGGUAGCUCGUCGGGCUCAUAACCCGGAGGUCAUAGGUUCGAGUCCUGUCUCCGCUACUA
rnacentral:tRNA from 1 species